ensembl:lncRNA
CCUGGGAACGCCUUGGUGUUCCCCCGGAUAAGCUGGAGGAGGUGGCUGGGGAGAGGGAGGUCUGGGCCUCUUUGCUUAGGCUGCUGCCCCCGCGACCCGGCUCCGGAUAAAGCGGAUGAAGAUGGAUGGAUGGAAGCGCGUCCAUGCUCACAGGUGAUCCAGGUGAUCGAUAGAUGCAUUUUUUUUUCUUUUUCUGCCCAUUCUGUUGGUUUUUGUUUUUUUGCCCUUCUCCCCUAUCCCUCUUCUCAGCUCUUUCUCUUUCUUUCUCCCCUUCUUUCCCCCAGUCAAGUCUGUCCCGUAUUCAACAAGUGAAAAUAAAAUAAACAAUAAAAGGUGAAUCAAAUGGACCAUUACGGCAAGGCUGGGAUGGUCAAUUUGGUAAAGUAAAUCCGUUGGGCAUCUUUCUUUGCCUUUAGACAAUAAUUCUGAUGGCAAAAGAGCCAAACGGGACAGGCAAAAAAAAAAAAAAAAAAGUCCUCUCUCCUCAACAUCUCUAUACAACCACAGAUAUGUCAUGUGGACCAACUGCCUUUCCUCUCUUCAUAGCUGCCUUCACUUCCUCCUUACUUAUCCCCUGCGCUUCCUGAUUCACUAACUUUCCUCCAUCUGUCCUCAGUUUCUGUCUUCAUUAAUGUCUUCAUUAAUGAAGACAGUGAGAGAAUACUUCUAUCUUCCAUCUUCUCAACACACUCUCUUCACCAUCUUUAUCCUUAAUCACUCUAACCUGCUGCACAUCCUUUUCAGCUCAAUCUCUGUAUAGCUAAUUCAUGCAAGUACUGUUCUCCUUCCUUAGUACCCAGCCUCACGUACAACUCAGUAUAAGCUUUUUCCUUUGCCACCUCUAUCUUUGCAGUAGGCCUGGCCUCCCAGUAUUCCUGUCUACUUUCUCCAUCUCCCCUG